ACGGGGAACAGGCAGAGCAUG
rnacentral:miRNA from 1 species